AUGCUGCACCUUUUGCACUUUUCUAAUCCUGAGGAAGGUCCUGCUUAUCGCUCCAGUGCCUUCGAGACUUUACUAGAUCUGCCAAGCCCUUCCCGCCUACUUUGGCAGGGCUGUACCUCCUCCAAACCCACGACGGGCGCCGCCUUAGACACGAGGCACCCGCGAGUCAUGGACGAAGCUAGAGACCGUCAGCAAAUAACCCGGCUCCUUCCGACACUGACUUCCUAAUCCCGGACCCAGAAACUGUCAACAGCCUUCCUUUUCUCUCCUCACUUUAUCAGCUGUAUGGGGCGAGGAAAAACCGAAAGCACCGAAGAGGAAACCCACAGCCAGCGCCCGAGCUGGUCCCCUGCCCACAUUUUUUUUUUUGGUGGUGUAAGGGGAGGAGUUUCCAAUGAAAGCUGUUCCUCUUCGUGGCUUUGUUUCGAAUUCAAAUCCUCACGCAGACAGUGCUUUUUUUAGGGUCACUUGGGCAGCAUUUUUGACACCUCAUUUGCAAAGUAAAGUAGGCAUUCCCAAGCAGCCGACUGUAUUGAAUGGUAGAUGAGCUCUGCAUAAUAAGUAAGAUGUGAAUGCUUCUCUUCGCCUACAUCUACUGUCCCUUCCCCCCACCUCAUCUCAAUUUGCAUCUUUGCUAGGUUAGAUUUUUAGCUACAGCGCGGAGCGUGACCGAUCUGAUCUAUUAACCAGCAAUUUAAAAAAAAAAUCUUAGUUUCACCUAAUACCUUUUUUUUAUUUCAAUGGGGAACGAUGAGCAUACUUUGUUGUACUUUCCAUUCUUUAUUUGGUUAAAACAGACUGGGGUAGUGGUGCUGUGGAGGGCGGGGAGAAUGCGCAAGCUCAAUUAAGAAUGCAUAAGAUGGAGAAUUAAGGCCACAAAAUCGGGGCACCAACGGAAAUCAAAAAAAGAAAUUGAUUCAAUUUUUUAGCUCAGUCUUUUUUAAAAUUUAAUUUUGAUUUAUUUAAUUUUUCCCCAUAUUGUUCAUUUUUGUGAAUAAUCUUAUAAAUCCAAAAUAAACAAUUGAAAAAUCGUAUGCUUCCA
rnacentral:lncRNA from 1 species